GUAGCUGUGCCCUGUGCUGGGAUAACCCCACAUACAGAUGGCAGGUGGGCAUUGGUGAGGCAGCAUCUGCCAACCAGGAACUGAACAGAGCAGUUUGUCUUUGAGAAGCGGUUGAGUAAGUUAGCUUGGCUGGUUACAGUAUAACACUGGCCCAAGGUCAUGGUUCCAAACUCCAUUUAGGACAGAUAGCUUCGCUUUAUAAUACAGCCCUAAACACAGGCCUGGUAUCGGCCAGCCUCCUGGACAUGAGGAGGCCUGUGCACCAGGGAAGAGAGUGGAAGGACAGGAAUCCAGGGCAAGGGGCAACUGAGUCCAGUGGUGGGUCCACAGUGCCACUUUCAACAGCUCCAGUGCACCUGAUAUUGAAAAUAACAUCUCCACUGGAUUCCUAAUUCACCGAACGAAGCUGCUGCCUGAGACUGAGCAUUGCUGGCCUUUCUUAGCAACUGAGACAAAUUUUGAUCCUUAAAUAAAUUCCAGGCAAGAGCAUGUUUGACUUAUGCACAGGAAAGCAGAGAAUUCUCCUGUAAGCUGCAAAACAAUAGUGUUUUAUCUUAUCUGAGGAACUUAUUGCCGCUUGCCUGUGUGUGUUUUACUGCCAAAAUAAAAUAAAUUGAAUCAGCUCACA